rnacentral:rRNA from 1 species
UACAGAGGGUGCAAGCGUUGCUCGGAAUUACUGGGCGUAAAGGGCGCGUAGGCGGAUAUUUAAGUCGGGUGUGAAAGCCCCGGGCUCAACCUGGGAAUUGCAUUCGAGACUGCAUUGCUGGAGUACGGAAGAGGAAGGCGGAAUUCCCGGUGUAGCGGUGAAAUGCGUAGAUAUCGGGAGGAACAUCAGUGGCGAAGGCGGCCUUCUGGUCCAGUACUGACACUCAAGUGCGAAAGCGUGGGGAGCAAACAGG